AUUGAACGCUGGCGGCAGGCCUAACACAUGCAAGUCGAGCGGUAGAGAGAAGCUUGCUUCUCUUGAGAGCGGCGGACGGGUGAGUAAUGCCUAGGAAUCUGCCUGGUAGUGGGGAAUAACGUUCGGAAACGAACGCUAAUACCGCAUACGUCCUACGGGAGAAAGCAGGGGACCUUCGGGCCUUGCGCUAUCAGAUGAGCCUAGGUCGGAUUAGCUAGUUGGUGAGGUAAUGGCUCACCAAGGCGACGAUCCGUAACUGGUCUGAGAGGAUGAUCAGUCACACUGGAACUGAGACACGGUCCAGACUCCUACGGGAGGCAGCAGUGGGGAAUAUUGGACAAUGGGCGAAAGCCUGAUCCAGCCAUGCCGCGUGUGUGAAGAAGGUCUUCGGAUUGUAAAGCACUUUAAGUUGGGAGGAAGGGCAUUAACCUAAUACGUUAGUGUUUUGACGUUACCGACAGAAUAAGCACCGGCUAACUCUGUGCCAGCAGCCGCGGUAAUACAGAGGGUGCAAGCGUUAAUCGGAAUUACUGGGCGUAAAGCGCGCGUAGGUGGUUUGUUAAGUUGGAUGUGAAAUCCCCGGGCUCAACCUGGGAACUGCAUUCAAAACUGACUGACUAGAGUAUGGUAGAGGGUGGUGGAAUUUCCUGUGUAGCGGUGAAAUGCGUAGAUAUAGGAAGGAACACCAGUGGCGAAGGCGACCACCUGGACUAAUACUGACACUGAGGUGCGAAAGCGUGGGGAGCAAACAGGAUUAGAUACCCUGGUAGUCCACGCCGCAAACGAUGUCAACUAGCCGUUGGAAGCCUUGAGUUUUUAGUGGCGCAGCUAACGCAUUAAGUUGACCGCCUGGGGAGUACGGCCGCAAGGUUAAAACUCAAAUGAAUUGACGGGGGCCCGCACAAGCGGUGGAGCAUGUGCUUAAUUCGAAGCUACGCGAAGAACCUUACAGGUCUUGACAUCUACUGAACUUUCUAGAGAUAGAUUGGUGUCUUCGGGACAUUGGUACACAGGUGCUGCAUGGCUGUCGUCAGCUCGUGUCGUGAGAUGUUGGGUUAAGUCCCGCAACGAGCGCAACCCUUGUCAUUAGUUGCUACGAAAGGGCACUCUAAUGAGACUGCCGGUGACAAACCGGAGGAAGGUGGGGAUGACGUCAAGUCCUCAUGGCCCUUAUGGGUAGGGCUUCACACGUCAUACAAUGGUACAUACAGAGCGCCGCCAACCCGCGAGGGGGAGCUAAUCGCAGAAAGUGUAUCGUAGUCCGGAUUGUAGUCUGCAACUCGACUGCAUGAAGUUGGAAUCGCUAGUAAUCGCGGAUCAGCAUGUCGCGGUGAAUACGUUCCCGGGUCUUGUACACACCGCCCGUCACACCAUGGGAGCGGGUUUUACCAGAAGUAGGUAGCUUAACCGUAAGGAGGGCGCUUACCACGGUAGGAUUCGUGACUGGGGUG
rnacentral:rRNA from 1 species